AUUGAACGCUGGCGGCAGGCCUAACACAUGCAAGUCGAGCGGAGCGUCGGACGGGUGAGUAAUGCCUAGGAAUCUGCCUGGCAGUGGGGGAUAACGUCCGGAAACGUGCGCUAAUACCGCAUUCUAUCAGAUGAGACUAGGUCGGAUUAGCUAGUUGGUGGGGGAAAGGCCUAACAAGGCGACGAUCCAUAACUGUUCUGAGAGGAGGAUCAUUCACACUGGAACUGAGACACGGCCCAGACUCCUACGGGAGGCAGCAGUGGGGAUUCUUAGACAAGGGGCGAAAGACUGAUACAGCCAUGCAGCGUGUGUGAAGAAGAUCUUCGGAUUGUAGAGCACUUUAAGUUGAGAGGCGUUACCAACAGAAUAAGACCCGGCUAACUCCGUGCCAGCCGCCGCGGUAAUAC
rnacentral:rRNA from 1 species